rnacentral:rRNA from 1 species
CAGCCGCCGCGGUAAAACGGAGGGGGCUAGCGUUGUUCAGAAUUACUGGGCGUAAAGCGCGCGUAGGCGGUUUUUUAAGUCUGAUGUGAAAGCCCACGGCUCAACCGUAGAGGGUCAUUGGAAACUGGAAAACUUGAGUGCAGAAGAGGAAAGUGGAAUUCCAUGUAUAGCGGUGAAAUGCGCAGAGAUAUGGAGGAACACCAGUGGCGAAGGCGACUUUCUGGUCUGUAACUGACGCUGAUGUGCGAAAGCGUGGGGAUCAAACAGGAUUAGAUACCCCAGUAGUCCCUGUCUCUUAUAA